rnacentral:tRNA from 1 species
AUUUCUUUAGUAUAACAGUACCAAUGCCUUCCAAGCAUUAAGCCCCAACCGGGAAGAAAUA